GACAGAGGGUGCUAGCGUUGUUCGGAAUUACUGGGCGUAAAGCGUGCGCAGGCGGUUUUGUAAGCCAGAUGUGAAAGCCCCGGGCUCAACCUGGGAAUGGCAUUUGGGACUGCAAGGCUUGAGUGCGGCAGAGGAGACUGGAAUUCCUGGUGUAGCAGUGAAAUGCGUAGAUAUCAGGAGGAAUACCGAUGGCGAAGGCAGGUCUCUGGGCUGACACUGACGCUCAUGCACGAAAGCGUGGGGAGCAAACAGG
rnacentral:rRNA from 1 species